rnacentral:lncRNA from 1 species
UUGACUUUGGAAGGCUUAGAGUCACAAGUGUCACUCCUCUAAUGGCUUACAAACACCAAAAGCAAGUGGAGAAGGUAUAAAGAGAAAGGAGAGAGGUAGAAAUUCGUCCUUAGAUGCUCUAGGGAUCAAGUCACGAAAUCCUAAGGCCUUAGGGGUCUUUAUAUAGGGUUAGGAUUAGGGUUUCAGUCCUUAUCCUUAUCUAGUUACUUGCCCAUCAAGCAACCAUAAGAUAAGCCUUGAAAAUCCCUAUCUCUUGGACCUUUGACGAUUUUAAGGAUAUCCUUAUCCUUGAAUUCGUCCAUCCUUUAACAAGGAUAAUCAUUGCCCUAUUUUGCAACUAUCACAUAAUUACAAUUCAGCCCCUCUAGUUUAAUUAAUUACAUUUGAUCACAAAAUUAAUUCUUAAUUAAUUAUUGACCAAUAUUAAUUAAACAAAUAUGAUUUCUCCUUUAAUAUAUUAUUCUUAUAACAUAUUAAUAAAUCAUAAUAACCUCUCUCUUUAUUUAUUUCUCCAAUCAAGUUGCUUUGGUGAAGGCAACCCAAAAGGACCAUGCACCAUCGGGUCAAGUACAUACCAAAAUAGUUAUGGACUUAGACACUAAUCCAACAGUCUCCCACUUGGAUAAGUCUAAUAACUAUUCUGCGUAUGACUUCAGAUCCUGAUCUGCAAUCGUAGCUUUCCAAAGCCGCUGUCAACUCUGAUCCUAUCAGAUACGCGUGUCCUUAGAUAAGGGAUCAUAUAUUCCUCCAUUCUAGAUAUCAUAUGAGAUAUGAUUUCAAAUCAUUCUCUUUGUACUAUAUCUCGAUUCCCGAUUUAUGACGACUGACUAAUUGAACAAAUCAAAUUAGCCCUAGCCCGGCCGAGCAUUUACGUUUGUCAUCACUAAAUCAUCGAGGGGCCCAAAGAUAUCGCUUUUAUCCUACUUUGGAUAAAAGGAACGGAUAAACUUUGAUACAAUGCUUGCUUGCACUCACUCACCGAAUCACACACAACAAUAUGUUUUAUAACACCAAGUUACUAGUGCGUUUACAUAUUAUCAAUGUGCAACCGAUUUGCAAGAUACAACUCACACAUCUCGGUUUCAAGAAUAUAAGAUGUUAUCGUCUCACCAAUCACUCGUGAUACAAUUCAUGGAGUGAUCCAAGUGAGCGUGGGUUUAAUCCAAUGCUCAAAUCAUAUUCAUAAGCACUCAUGAACGUUGCAGCAAACAUUUGCUUAUGUCUAAUACUCUUUUAGACAAUCCACACACCAAUUCACGACAGUCUUCAUUCAUAUCUACUUCCAACAUAUGAACGACUGUGGCCCGUUCGAAUAAUUCGAUUAUUCUUAAUAAACUCAAUUAUUCUGGAAGUCAAAACAUGCAAAUGUGAAACACAAGAAUAAUACUAAUCCCAUAUGGCCUCAAACCUUUGAGUAUAAAUAAAACACCUUUUAUUUAUCACCAUAUCGAUUACUCAUUAUUUGUCGUUUCGGGUAAUCAACUUCUUACUUGAAUUAUUACACUUGUCCCAUGCUCCUAGCAUGCACACAAUGUUUACCUAUGGUUCUUACUUUGUGAAAUAGAUCAAAUUGAACACAUUUCCAAUCAUUCUCAUUUCACAACUCCAAAUCCUUUUUCAUAAGUGUAAGAAUAUCAAAUUCUUGCUACUUAUAGAAUAUGCUAGAUUCUAACAUUCUAUGCAACUAUCCUUUCGUAAUGUCACUGCACCAAAGUCACAAAGACUAUUGCCAAUGAUAUUACAAAGUCCUCUAUCGGAGAUUGUUACAAGACAAUUCCAUAGAUGUGAUGUCUCUCACUCAAAGUACAUUCUUUGAACAUCCUUUUGCAUAGAAGUUUCUAAUCUAGUCAUAGAUUUCUCAAUAUUCAAUUCCCAAUAUGGACACACUUCCAUAUGUUCCAUAUGACAACUCAUUCUUAAUAGAAUCUUAUCUAUUCGUAAUGAUGUCGAUAUGGUCCAUCCAAUAUGGAAACAUUUCCAUAUUUUCCAAUACUAUACUUCCAACUACUCACAAGCGACCAAUCCUCGUCGAACUUUGGAUUGUCCUUUGAUAGUUGUUUAAUUAUUUUAGUCAAAACCGAUUCUAGUCCUUUUUCCCUCUAAAUGCGCUAGACAUUUGGAAAAUUUUAGAAUGGUCAAACAUUAAAGCAUUUGCAAUCGAUCCUAUACCCGAAGCGUAUGGGACACGACGCAUAAUGUUUUAUUUGCUAUGUUCUCAAAAUUCGAAUUGUGAAGAGGGAUGCCGUAAUCAUAAUCGAAAUUUUAAGAACACACUAUGUACCUUUGACUAAAUUUAUUAACAUUUCUCAACCUAAUCCUUUAGAUUUGAAAUGAAGCAUAAUAUUCUCUCCCUUAAUUAUAGCAAAACAACUUUUCAACUCUUACAACUUUGCAAAGUAUGACUCUUGUUUUCUAUAAUUAAUAUUGCUAACCUUGCAAUACUUUCCUUAAUAAUCAUACAAUCAUAACAUUUAUGCUCCCACUAUCAUGAUGAUUAUUAUAAAACAUAACACUUAUGCUCCCACUAGCUUCGACAUGUAUUCAUAAACAUCUUAACUUUCAGAAAAACAAUGCUUAUUGAAUUUCUUAAGUUCAUGUUUCUAAUACUUAGUGCUUUGAUAAUCUUUUAUCAAGGCUUCUUGAACUUAUACACCUUUGCCUUCGAUAGUUCAUAUGUGUGUCUAAACAAUUAAGACUAAUUGCCAAACCUCACAAUUCAAAUUAUGGAAAGGGAUGCCGUAACCAUAAUUGAAUUCGAGAAUGCAAUUUUACAAUCACUAUCUUCUUAAAAUCUUUCUUAGUGAAAGCAUUUCCUCACAAUCAUUUUCAUGAAGGAGGAAAUCUUAUGACACUUAGAUUUAAACGGUGUAUGUGUUCCUAUCCAUGUGAAUUUGUUAAAACCAAAGUUUACGACAAAUUCAAACUCAUAUGGACCGAACUUUCUUAAUCUUGAUUUCUUGCCUUAUGGUAGCACAGCUGCCCACCAUGUCUUCCAAGUAGUUAAGCAGCUCACCCUUUCCUAUCAAUGUACCUUUCAUUGAUUAAGGUGCUUUGCCUUUUAUGCGUUCAAAAUGAGAACUCAUAGAACUCACAUGCAUAAUUAACUCGAUUGGAUUGGCACAGAAUCAAAAUAAUGUCAACACGAUAGGUUGUAAACCUCAACUCGUGUGCUAGUGAUGAUCGAUAAGGUUUAUUUGAUUUGUUCUUGAAACCUUUCAAGACCAUUAAGACUCCCACUGACUCCUUGACAUAUAAGAUUCUCUUGUCAAUAACCAUUUCUUGACAAACAAAUAUUCAAGAGUUAGUGUAGCUUUUAUCAAAACACUUCAUAAAUUGGUCCUAGUUGGUCUUUGUCUUAUCCAAGACAUCACAACUUUCCACAUUUAAUGAAAGUUACAAACCUUCUUAAUACCUUUCACUCAAUGUCACAAUCUUAACUUUAAGACUUGUUAUUGGAACGAAGUAUGAUUGACUUAUUGAUUUAACCAUUUCUUCAAUUCUUGAUUCCUCUUCUUAGACAUACAAUUGUACUAAGACUCACUUAGAGGAUCAAUUGAGAUAUGGUUCUUAAUCAUUAAGACCUAUCAUAAAGCAUAAAAGGUACUCUCCCUUCUUCUUAGAAUGGAGAAACUUUUAUCUUUCUGCCUACUUGAUUCUUCUUAUUCGUUCUGCUAUUGAUUUAAACCUUUUCAAUCAAUUCAGAAUUACACUUAAUCUUAUAAGUAUAAUCAUAUUUACUAAACCUUUAGUAAAUCAUGACGAAUAUCUUUGUUACUCUUAUGGUGGACUUGAUCAACACACAACUUUGUGUACUCGAUCUCCUAGUCCUUCACUUGACACUUUGUCAAUGAAUUAGUCUAAUUUCCAAAUAUGAAAUUUCUCAUUCAUCGUGCAACCAAGUUGCAUGAUUCCAAGUUUCUGUCCAAUUGAAACUUGGGCGAUGAGAAACUCUCCCUAUUUGGUAAAUUCUCGACUUUCCAUAAAUAACAUAAUAAGAACCAAAUCCAUUAUUGCUAAUAAUAGAAACAUUUUAACAUCAAUUUUUCAUACACGCCAUUGUAAGGAUAAAUAAAUAAAAUUUAAAAUCAAAAUUUAUUUUAUUGCGGAAAAAUUUGUCCUUACAAUGCAACUCAUUGAAAAACUUAUGCUAAUACAUCUUUCUUAGCAAUCUAAUUCUAACUCUAAGUAGUAGCUCAAGAAUCUAAUCUUCGAGAAAUGCGAUCGAAAUCCAUUCCUUCACGGUUAGAUUCUGCUCACUUCUUCCCUUAAGCUUCCUUUCUUUUCUUCGAUCCUACAAAACAUCAAUUGUAAUCUUAUCACAUUAUGUAUUAAGAAUCUAGAAUAGAAGCUUAAAAGAGUUAGUUAAUGGAUUUUACCUAUAUUAGAGCCAUACGUUUCGACUCUCCCAUCUCUUAGAUCUCUUAGGUAAAUGGGGCAGCUUCGUCUCCAAUGCCCUUUCUCUUGGCAAUAAAAGCAAAUUGACUCUUUUGGAACAUGACAUGGAACUACUUCAGACAUUGCCUUUCUCUUAUGAUCAAACUUUUCGAUCAUAGCAUGUCUUUCGUUGCCAUUGUCUAUAUCCAUAGAGGUCUUGAAGGCAGAUUCACCAAUCAACUUUGCUUUUCUAUUGCGCCAAACCAUUGCUGAUUCAGCAGCAAUAAGCAUAUAGGUGAGAUCUAUAAGGGUCACGUCGCGGUUCAUCAUAUAGUACUCUCUUACGAACUCACUAUAUGAGUUAGGAAGUGACUGAAGAACCCAAUCAACAGCCAUUUCCUCACAGACAACGGAUCCCAACAUUCUUAACCUAUCAAUGUGUGACUUCAUCCCUAGGACGUGUGCACACACCGACUUUCCUUCUUUAUGUUUACUUGCCAAAAGGGCUUGAGUGAUCUUGAACUUUUCAAGCCUUUGAACUUGUGGGUUAGGGAGAAUAAUUGGAGGAGGUGGAGGAAGUGAAGCAUGAUUUCUUGUUCCUCGAUCGAAUCGUGGAAUAUCAUCUUCAUGUGGAAUGCUUGUUCCACGGGAUUUGGGAAGACCAUAGUUGUCGAACUUUGACAUCUACAAAACGGGAGAAAACGAAUUCAAGUUAGUUGAUUGAUUGAGUCCUUAGUAAAUCACCCAAAUGAGAUACUAAGGCUAGGACCCAACACAAUAUUCUACAACUCGGGAGAGGGAUGCCGUAACCCAAAUUGCAGAACAUUUGAAGGUAAGUGAAUGACGAUUCACUAAUUUCCACCAUGAAAAACGAAAAAGAAAUUUAAGUUUUAAAUCUAUGAAAACUCCUAGAUCCUUUGAGAUUCAUUGAACAUUUCAAUGGCAUGUUUAAAUCUCGAUAUGCCCCUCUUGUUUGUGACUGGGAUGCCGAGGAUCACAAAGCGGGUGUGAAUAACCAUGCAAACUUACAUGGUGCCCUCACAUGUUACAGUCACCUAUUCGAUGUGCCGGUAAACCACACACGCUCCACCGAACUAUGACAAACAUUGAGUCACCCUUUGCUACCUUUGCUUAGAACCAUUUAGUGUGCCGGUAAACCACACACGCUCCACUAACGUCUUCGCAAGGGCACAAAGUGUAAUUUCAUGGAAUUGCAUCAAUUCACUUUUGCCUAAGUAACUAAGAUUGGGAAUUUUAUGAAAACAUUUAGUUACUUUUAUACUUCAUUAUACUUAUAAUGGAAGGUUUCGUCCUAUCCUACCCGUUCGGCUAACGACCCUCCACUAGUCAAGAGUGCGGUGGGUAAGAGUGGAUACCCAUUCAAUCGCCAUUUUAUAGGCAAUUUCCUUAAACACCCCUUAUAGACCAGCUUCGUGAAUGAGGCCUACUAACGGUAAGACUGACUUUUACUCAUACAUAUAUAUAAUGUUAGACUUUUAAUGUUAUAUAUAGUAUAGGGUGUAUUUUACACUUUUAAAAUACUAGGUGGUCAAAUUUAACAAUUAUACUUUUAAUUCAAUUAAAUUGUAAACCAAAACUUUUAUGGAUUUAUUAAACCUCUUUUAAUUAUACACCUUAAUUAAUUAAUAAAACCAUAAGGGUGUGAUUUGAACUUUUUCAAAACAAUACUAGAGUUUUAGAAUUUAACAUUCCUAAUUAAACUUUUAAUCAACUUUUAAAUUCCAAAACUUGAGGGCAAGUUUUGAAACAUUUCAACACAUUAGGGUUUAGAAUUUAAAUAUACAUCAAAAUUAAACCAUUUAAUCAAAAUUUAAAUUCCAAAACUUGAGGGCAAGUUUUGAAACCUUUUUCAAAACAUUAGGGUUUCAACUAUUUAAAUUUCAAAACAACAAAACUUUUGGGUUCAAAUUUAAACUAUAAAACCUAAAGGGGAAAAUAUGAAACUUUUCAUAACAACAAGGAUCAAAUAACAAAUAAUCUAAAUUAACAUUUAAUCACAUAAUUAUCCAUAUUUGAUUUAUUUAAUGAUUUCUUGCAAAACAAUUUAUCAAUUUAAUCAAAAUAAUUAAUCAAUUAUCACAUAAGGAAACAAAUAUUUUAUUAAUUGAUAAAUAUCUUCAAUUAGAUCAAGAAUAUAGUCAAAUAUAUCAUAAAAUCGGAUUUAUAUUGAUCUAAUAUGAUAAGGUAACUAUCCAUAAGCAAAAACAGCAAGAAAUCGCGAAGAUAUCCCCAUCUGACGAGUUGACUCGUCGAGUCAAGCUUGGACUCGUCGAGUCUGCAUGGACUCGGCGAGUUCAGCUAUGGACUCGGCGAGUCCAGCCUCCAGAACACCAAAAAUCGAAUUUUUUAGAUAUACAAUGCAUCAAUACAAUUGAAACCAAGCUAGGCUCUGAUACCACUGAUGGGUUUUGGUCAUAAGACAUCCUAUGUGCUCAUACAAACCCUAAUGCUUGGAUCUAGGUUUCUCUAUUGUACAUGCUUUGAAUCCAAGACUAUAAACCCUAAUUCUAGCAUAUGGAAAUCAAUAUUAACAUAUAAUUAGGUUUAAGAUAUUACCUUGAUUGUUAUGUAGCAAUAACAAUCCCAAUUCCUCCUUGAAUUGACUUUGGAAGGCUUAGAGUCACAAGUGUCACUCCUCUAAUGGCUUACAAACACCAAGAGCAAAUGGAGAAGGUAUAAGGAGAGAGGAGAGGUAUAAGAAUUCGUCUCUAGGACCUCUUGGGAAGGCAUGGACGAAUUCAUGAGCCUUGGGGGUCUUUAUAUAGGUGUAGAGAUUAGGGUUUUAGUCCUUAUCCUUAUCUAGUUGCUU